rnacentral:tRNA from 1 species
GAAAAUGGCCGAGCGGGUCUAAGGCGCCAGACUUCAAAGGUUGUGCACCUUCUCAAAACAGAGAGAUUUCUGCUGCGUUCUCCGAAUGGAUGAGGCGUGGGUUUAAAUCCCACUUUUGACA